UACAGAGGGUGCGAGCGUUAAUCGGAAUUACUGGGCGUAAAGCGUGCGUAGACGGUUAUUUAAGUCGGGUGUGAAAGCCCCGGGCUCAACCUGGGAACUGCAUUUGGGACUGCAAGGCUGGAGUACGGCAGAGGGAGGUGGAAUUCCACGUGUAGCAGUGAAAUGCGUAGAGAUGUGGAGGAACACCGAUGGCGAAGGCAGCCUCCUGGGCUAGUACUGACGCUCAUGCACGAAAGCGUGGGGAGCAAACAGG
rnacentral:rRNA from 1 species